rnacentral:lncRNA from 1 species
AUUUUUAAGUGCUUGGAAUUCACUUAAGAGAGGGACGUUUAGUAGAGGUUUGUGGCUUAUUGUUUUUUAGGAUGGUGCGAUACUCCUCUGUUUUUGAGCUGCACUUUAAUCUCUAGACGUAUAAAGCCACUCGUUUUAUUCUGUAGAGGACUAAAACCAGCUUGAUUGCGUGGUACCUGUGGCUUGACAGUGUAGAUGCAGCAUUGCCAAGAGACUGAGCAGGGAUGUAUCAGAGUCACGUUUUUUAUCUGCAAAGGGUAAGUCUGUGAUUACCCCUGCCGAGGCUGCUGUGUGUGCAUGUCUUUUUGGCAUUUGUGGAGCUCGGUUGUUUUUUUUUUUUUGUGUGAUUAUGUUCUAACUUUUUUUGUUUUUGAGGGGUGAAUAGUGUGUGUGCUGAGCGUGGUUUCCAGGAGGAAGUGGGGAGCUCCUCAGGACUGGUAGGUUUGGUUUCUAGGAGUGUGCAGCAGCCUUCCUGUGCGAUGUGACUGAUUGUUGGGUGGGAAUGUACCAGCUUGUGUGUGUUGGGCAAUGUAGCUUGUGUAGUGUGUGUUGUGUGGCCUGGGCAGAGUUUGCUGUGGCGCUGUGAACGUGGAAUCUCAGAGCUGGUGAGCAGCUGAAGUACCGGAGCUGGGAAGAGAGAGGUCUUGCAGCAGGUACGCUGUGGCUGUUUCAGAGUGUGUGUUUCUCUUGCCUCUGCAGGUGCUUUGUGCAGUUGUGGAGAGGGAAGGGAAAUCCUCAUGUCACGAAGCUCUGAGGGAAGGUGGCGUGGGUGAUGCUGGCCGCUCCUUUCAAGCUUGGACCUAAUUUGCAGGUCCAGAGGCAAGUGGCCUGCUGUUUUAAAAGGAUAAAAGUAAAGAU